AUACGGAGGAUGCGAGCGUUAUCCGGAUUUAUUGGGUUUAAAGGGUGCGUAGGCUGUGCGUUAAGUCAGGGGUGAAAUGCCGUCGCUCAACGACGGAGCUGCCCUUGAUACUGGCGUGCUGGAGUACGGAUGCCGUUGGAGGAAUGAGUGGUGUAGCGGUGAAAUGCUUAGAUAUCACACAGAACACCGAUUGCGAAGGCAUCUCACAAAUCCGUGAUUGACGCUGAGGCACGAAAGUGUGGGGAUCGAACAGGAUUAGAUACCCUGGUAGUCCACACUGUAAACGAUGAUAACUCGCUGUUGGCGAUAUACAGUCAGUGGCCAAGCGAAAGCGAUAAGUCAUCCACCUGGGGAGUACGUCGGCAACGAUGAAACUCAAAUGAAUUGACGGGG
rnacentral:rRNA from 1 species